AUCACUUUAAAAUUCCUUAUUAUUAAGCAAACCAGAGCACCAUUUGCUUGUUUUUUAUUUUAAUUUACAGCUAGCCAGAUGCACACACCAAUACCCAGUUGACUACAUUAAAAUGGUAGAAGCACUCAAUGGUGCUGCCCAUCCUUAAACAGCGUUUUGGUCCCUAGAGGCCUUCACCACAUAGCCUGGUUUCUUCCUAGGUUUUGGCCUUUCUAGGGAGUUUUUCCUAGCCACCGUGCUUCUACACCUGCAUUGCUUGCUGUUUGGGGUUUCUGGCUGGGUUUCUGUACAGCACUUUGAGAUAUCAGCUGAUGUACGAAGGGCUAUAUAAAUCAAUUUGAUUUGGUCAUUAUCUAUGGGUAGGAUACACUUGACUAGCUGCAAAGAAAGGGGGCUAUUGAGGAAGCCUACUUGGUGGCUUUCCACACAACCCCUCAUAAUUGUUCCUCUGUCUUUUUAAAGGGGCCAUUUUGAUUGCUACAUACAUUUGACUUUUAAUUUCAUGACAUAUAGCCAUUGAUUCUUAAAGAUUAUAACUUAGAAAUGCCUCAUGAUCUUAGCUCAACUGUCCAACCCCAUCAACCCAAAGUGUAUGCUUGUUUUACUCAUUUGUGUGUAAACAAUGUGUACUUUUAAACCCUGUAUAGCCUCAACAUUUGUACAAAUGUAAAAAUAUGAGGAAGCCUACUUGGUGGCUUUCCACACAACCCCCUCAUAAUUGUUCCUCUGUCUUUUUAAAGGGGCCAUUUGAUUGCUACAUACAUUUGACUUUUAAUUUCAUGACAUAUGGCCAUGGAUGCAUACAUAGCUCUAUGAAUUCGAGUUGUUACAUUUGUCUAUUCCAAUUCCUCAGCUGUUUACCGAAACAGUGGCGGGGAAGCCUGCUGUGUUAUUGUUUGAACUGCAGAUUGCCUCUUCAAUCGAGAUUCGGUAAUAGACCGUCGCGAGAACACCACAGAGAAGACAACUUUUCCGUCUGCUCUCGUGGAGUCUGAGGUAAGUAAUCUCUGGCCAAUUUUAAUAACAAUCGCUUUAAUGUAGGUUAAAGCCGAAUGGCUAGACUUUUAAGUGGCUCUGUCAUUAGCUAACGGUCGCUUGGAAAUUGAUUUGAGGGCCUUGCUUCUAGCUAGUCUCACACAAAGGUAAUAAGACACGGCCACAAUUUAGCUAUGCUCAAAUAAAACUUCCAAUGUGACUCCAGGUUAAUGCUUCGUGUCAUUGUACGCAUUUUACUCUUAAUUACUGACUUUUCUUCUCACCUUUUUGUUUCAUGGUGGUUACGAAGAUGGACUGUUUUUUUAUCGUUUGGUGAAACGGUAUCUGUGAGAACUGACAACCUCGCCUGUAACCGCGCUCCCUCUGUGGCCCCUUUGACAGUGGUUGUGGUUUGUGUUGUACGGAAUUGAAGCCUGACAGAAAUCUAUCAUGCCUACCUACACUCUGUGGGUUCCCUUGAGUGAUUUCAAGACCGAUAAGCCAUAUUGAAUGACGGCACUGUAAAACUUUAAAUUUCAGUGAUUAGGUUAUAUUUAGUACUGUUAUAACUAGGCUGAAGAGUCUGAUCAGUCUGAUUCACAUGGUCCAAUAAUUUAAGUAUGUCACACAUGGGCAAAUAACACGUUUACCACGUACUACCAAGUACGAUUUUAAGUCUGAUCAAGACAUGACAAAGUGAUGGCAGACGAGCAUUCCUGUCCCCCCUGUGAAUUUAAUGUUGCUUCAAUUUUUCUCCUAGAAAACAGCAGUACACUUCAGAAAUCAUUGACAAUCCUUUCUUCUAGCUUCCCCAAUGAUUCAAAACCUCUGAUAGGUAGUGGAUGGAUGCUGCUGUGAAUGACUGAAUAAAAUGGUGAUAUUAAUCAAUCAAUGUAUACAUGCAGUAACAUGUUGGCUUUGAAUGGAAGGAAAGCUGAUGUGAUGCCCCUUUCUCUCUCUCUCACAAUGUGGGGGUUGUGAUUGUCUGUGGCUGGUGUGCACAAGAUGGUGAAGUUAACACCCAAUCAUGUCAUACCCCAAUUACCUCCAGGUACUACAAUCUGCCAUUGUCACACCAGACUGACCACAGACCUGUAUCACUGAUCAAUUUUUAAAAAUGCAUUCAAAGGAACACCUCAUUCAAAGCAUUGCCAACACCUGCAGUUGGAUAUUUGAUUAGCUGUCAGUGAUGGCGUGAAAUGUUAUAUGUCCAGGUUUCAGCAGGACAAGCAUUGUGCCCCAUCCAUAAGAGAGAGCAGAUUAAGCUUUUCUGUGUGACUUGUGAUCAGCGGACUUGCCGUGAUUACCUCGACUAACCUGUACCAGUUAGCCCAGGAUGCUUUGCCAGAGCAGAGGAAAUGGUUACAGUAUCUAAUGGAGACUUUGAGGACAGAGAGAGUGACCGUGCAACAGGACCUAGAUGGACGGCUGUCUGACUUGGAGGAUCAGCUGGAGAGUGUUGGAGCGGAGGUCAAGGAUAUCCUCAAGGGCAUCUGGAGUGUCCUGGUGAAGAGAGCCAUGCAGCUUUCCAAGGAAAUGCAGCUUUAGGUCAGUGUCCCCAACUGCACUCAGGAAGAUGACAUUGACCUCACCCUUCACCUAGCAAUGAACUCUGCUCUCCUAUAGAGGAGUGUGAUGACCGUAUGGAUGAUUUUCAUGUCGGUGCUGCUGACAGUAUUGAAGAGACUGGGUGCCAGGUGUCUGUUGGGCUUAAUAGCAGGUGUCUUUGCUUCGGAUACCCAUCCUUGGUGCCCCGCCAACCCGCUUCUGCCGCCUCCCAGGUGUCAAAGGGCAGGAAACUGUCGUUCAGUCAGAGUCUCCUUGCUCCUCUAUGUUGAGCCCAGACAGUCUUGAGGCACACCCCGUGCAGCUACGACCCCCUCCUGGCCAGGAGGAAGCUCACCCCUGUGUGUCACGUGUGGACGCCGCUUCCACAGGAAGUGUCACAUUCUGCCCAUCUAUGCCUUAUCCACCACGUAAGCUUGUUUUAAUUAACCAAGUUAAUUGCAUUCUGAAUGAACAUGGAGUAUAUAUUUUUUCAGCCCUGAAUUCAGGUAAUGUGCAAUUUCUGUUCAUGAACAGAAUUGUUAUCUGAACCCUCUGCAAAGUGCGCCUACAUUGUCUGUCUGCAUAAAGCAGCAACAUUUGUACAGUAGGCUCCCCUACUGAUGCUGUUCUAAUGUCUCCACCCCAUGAACUGUUAAGUGUGAUUCUCAGCAAAAUUACCUAUCUAUUACUUCAAUAAUUGAUGUCUUAUUUCAAUCUGUAUUGUUUAAGGACCUCUGAAAAUGUGGGCCCCUGUGUGGAAAGAUGUUUCACUGUGGGCCCAAAUAAAGCAUUGAGAUUUGUCUGUCUCUGUAUUGGCCAGAUGUGUGUGUGUGUGUGUGUGUGUGUGUGUGUGUGUGUGUGUGUGUGAUGCUGCUCUCCCUGUGAGUGCUGGCAGUGUCGGCUGUGCCGGGACCUCUGAUCUAGCGUUGCUGCAGGACUACAGUAGGACUGACAAAGAACUGUGUAUGAGCUUUCCUGACCAAAUGGUGAGCCUUUUUUACUUCGCAGAGCAUGUCUGGGCACGUCUGCUACCUUUCACCUGGAAUAUGCGCAUCUGGGUACAUACGACUGCAUGCCCAGUUCUGUCUACGCAUGUGUGGUAUUGUUUGCUGUGUCCGCAUCUAGUACUUAUUGACCCUGAUCCUAUUUUAGUGGAGAUGGUCUGUUUUUAGAUCCAGGGAAUCAUUUUUGAAUUGAAAAAGACAAGGGUAGAAUCAAAAUGUAAACCAUGUAUUUCUGAUGUGACCGGAUCUUGAUUGGUUAUUUUAACUCACUCAUCCAAAGUUUUUUUUUUUUUUUGUCUGGCCAUUAAAUCACCAUUGCUUCUGUUAGUUUUCCCACUCCAAGGUGCUUGUUUGUCCAGUGUAGUCUACAGCAGUGUUUCUAACUCCAGUUUGCCCAACAGCACACAUUUGUGUUGUUGCCCCAAACAAACUCACCUGAUUCAACUCAUUGAGGGCCUGAUGAUUAGUUGACUCGGGUGUGCUUGUCCAGGGCUACAACAAAUAUUUGUGCUGUUUGGGGUACUGGAAGACUGGAGUUGGGAAACACUGGUGUGUGUGAACCAUCGCUUACCCUUUGGGCUCGACCCUACAGAGAUGUGAGCGCCUACUGCUUGUCCUUUCAUGCAAAAAGUACAGCAUUGUCCUCUACAGACCAGGAAAGGUAAUCGACAAGUGUAACUUAACGCAUUUAUGCAUACAUAUCCUUAGCAUCCCUCUUUUAGUAUUUCCAUAGAUAGUGUUGGCUAUUAAAAUGUCACACAUAAUCACAAGACUUUGAAUAUCGAUGUGAAUUUAAUGUUAAUAAAGAAUGUUGGUGAUGGUGUUCACUGGAAUGUUUAUUGCCAAAUACGUUGCUGACAAAUGACUGGUCCCUUUAAUGAAGAAUGACUUCAAUUGUGUGUGUCAGAUAUACUGUAUACAAUUGCAGUUUGAUGUUAGUCCGUUGUCUUGACUAGAGAAAUAUUGUAUUUUGACUCUCCCUCUCCUUAGCUCUCUUAACAUCGUCCUGAUACGGGGACUGUUGCUGCGGAAACUGCCCCCUCCCCUCACCGCACCCAGUCAGAAUUUGUGUCCAAUGUCUGGCUUCUCCACACACUGUUGAAGAGCGUGAAGUAUUCCAAGUCAGUGGACCGAUUUGAGGCAUGUUUCGGGAGGGAGCUGGUCAAAACGCUUGUGGGGAUCCUGCACCCUUCGCUGCUCGUCAACCCCCACCAAGGGGAAGCGGAGAGGAGUGCAGAACAAGAGGGGGGCAAGGAGAAAGUGUCCAUGAGGAGAAUCCAAGGCCUCUAGAGGAGCACGCAGGCAGAGUUCUUUCACACAGGACUCGAUGAAAGCUGGAGAAUGGCAGCAGAAGGCCGUAUUUGUGUAUUUAAUUUGGUCUUUGAAUUCCUUGGUGAACAUAUUUGUACAUAGUUGCAGCCAAAUAUUGGCACCCUUGCACUUUUUUUUCCUUUAAAAAAAAAAAUUUCUUCUAAAAUAACUUGAAAUUUGGAAAAACCUUUGGUAUCUACACCUUACUGUAUUUUCAACAUUACAGACCCAAUUUACCCAAUUGGUAAAUUUAAGUUUACAAUUUGGCAUGUACAAAAUGAUUGGCAAGUACUUGGUUGCAUAGCCUUUGGCCAAGAACUACAGACAAAUGCUUCUUGUAGGCAUCAGUAAGGUGGCUGCAUCUUAUUACUGGUGAUUUUACUCAGCCUUCAGAAGCAAACUGCUCUAAUUCUUUAAUGUUUGAGGGGUGCCCUCCACCAACUGCUGUUGUCAGCUCUCGCCAUAGGUUAUGGAUGUGGCAACUGCUCGGCCUCGUUCCUGCCAUCCAGGACCUCCUAUACCAGGCGGUGUCAGAGGAGGCCCUAAAAAUUGUCAGACUCCAGCCACCCUAGUCAUAGACUGUUCUCUCU